ACGUAGUGUGUAACGCGCGACCGCCAUCUUUGUGAAGUAGGUAACCUUUGUUGAUUUGUGUGUGAAAUGUGACGCCGUUGUCGCGAGAUAAUUGGUGAUCGUGAUUACUGUGCCCCGGUGUUGUACGAAAACUCAGUGAACCCGUGUACCCACGCGUCGUGUCCUGCGGAUUUUAUCGAUGGGACUGCCGCAAUCAGGGUCAGCGCAAUAGCCCGCGGUGAGAACGUGAGGAGGCGUGAGGUCGAGCUUCCGAACCGAGAAACCGGAGGGUCGCGGCAGGAUGUGAACGUCGCGGCCAACCGUGACGUCGCCUAUCGGCAGGAGGAGGAGGCACUGGCCGUGACUUCGUCGUCGUCGUCGUCGCCGUCCGCGCCGUCCGCGCCGCCGACGGAGACGCGAUGGACGAGACCGAGUCGGCCGAGACAUGGUCGCUCUGGUUCCUGGACGCGAUCCGCAAGAUACGCAGCCAGAAGCAACGGCCGAGCGUCGAGCGGAUAUGCCACGCGAUACGCCAGCAUCACAAUUAUCACGAGGAGGAGAUUGCUGAGCACUUGGAGGUCGCUGUGAAGCGCGGCGAUGUGCUCAAGAUCUUCAACAAGGGCCAAUCGUCUUACAAGGACCCGGGCGGCUUGCAGUCGAGGCCGCUUAAGGUCAACAAGUCGACGGAUCUGAGCAGAGUUUUGAGCAAAGCCGUGCGCGAGCUCGGCGAACGCGAGGGUUCGACUCUGAAGAACAUCGAGAAGUACAUCAGACAGAGCCACACUGUCGAAGAGGAAGCCGAGGGCGAUCUUAGGACCGCGCUUCGGCUGUCCGCCAAACGAGCGGUCGAUCGGGGCCUCGUGCUCCAGGACGGCAGACUCUUCCGGCAAUGGGACCGACCGCCGUACCUCAAGAAAAACAGCGGCGACGCUAAUGCGUCGUCCACGGAACCGCCCGCGCCCCAGUUGCCAGCGCCGCUGCCGAUAUGCAAGGAGUGCCUCGGUGCUACGAUACCCGGCAACAGCGGCAACAAACGCAACGAGAAGUUGAGCAGGUGCAACGUCUGCGGCGCAGCGCUGCACAAUUCUUGCGCGCCGCCAGAACUUUCGAUACUCGUCGACCGGGGGGCAACCUGGUCCUGCGAUAACUGCUCGCCAAUCUGCGCUGGUUGCCAGCUGGAGCGGGAAUCACAAAAUUAUCUCGUCAAGUGUGCCGGCUGCGUGAAAUCUUACCAUCCCACCUGUCUCGAUCCCGUCCUCGACAAGAAAAACAAGGCACCCUGGAAAUGUCGGCAUUGUCAGACGGCGCACACGCCGUCGGGCAAGGACGAGGGGAAGCGGAGCAGAACGCAGGAUUCGUCCGAGGAUACGCCGACGAGCGCGAGGAAGAGGCUGAGCAAGUUACGCGAGAAUCGAAAAUCUAUGGUAUCCAGAAAAAGCUUGACGAACGCGUUACCAGGCAAGAAGGGCAGUGCAGGAGUGGCUCAGGUGGACAGCAGCUCGGACGGUAAUGCGGGUGUUGUCUCCCUUCGUCAACCACCUUUGAUUUCCUCUCCUUUACCACAACCCCCCACCCCACUCGCAGGCCAGGGUAGGCUGCUCGAGGAAAAGAACGACAGGAUCUCCAAGGAGAAGCAAAAGUUCUUUAGAUUGAGCGCGUUUAACGCCGAGCACAAUAAAUUGAAGCGGGUGGGGGGCGGUGAUAAAUCUAGGCCCUCGCGGAAUAUUAGCGUUAGGUCGACCCGGGGUGGUGCCGCGAAUCCGAAGAAGGUCGGAGCAUCGCGAGUGUCUAGCAGCAGCAGUAGUAGCAGCAGCAGCAGCGAGGAUGGUAACAGCAGCGAGAGCUCAGAGGGGAGCGAUAGUAGCGACGAAGAUGACGAGGAAGGCAAUAGCUCGAGCGAGAGCAGUGGCUCCUCGUCGUCGGACGAGGCUCAGGACGGGAGAAUCGAGUCUCCUAAAACGAAAGCGCCUUUCGCUUGCGACCUUAAUGAGGACAAACCGUGGGGCUUCGCUGCCGCCGCCGCUAAGCUAAACGCAGAUUCAUCUUUCUUCAGCGGUAUCACGAACACAUUUGGUGCGCCUUUACCUAAACUCGAUGUAGGCGACGUGCCGACCUUCGGCUUGCACAUACAACAACCUGCCGCGGUCAAUUCGACGGACGGUAAAAAGAAAGACAAGACCGAGCGCAACGCAACACAGCCGGCCGCCAGCGCUGAUAACAAAGUCAAGCCUGGAAGCGGCCAGUUGAGGAGCCUCUUCGACGGUUUGAGUCACUUUUUUUCAGCAUCCGCGAACAGCAGGGCGAGAUCGACCGGUGCGCCGGCGCCGAAUUAUGCGCCUGAUCGUAGAAAAAGGCCUAACGCGGAGGAUACCGGUAAAACGAAUAAAAUUCCGAGAAGCGCGCAGAAAAACAACAAAUCGGACGAUUCGUCCGGCACGAGUAAACUUAAGGAUCGGAAAAAGACUGAAGCCACUGAGAUAUCGAGAGUACCGAAGCCCGGUAUCUUUGUACCUUCCGAUGAGAGCAUAUUCAGCUCGCUUAGCGAAAAGUUACCGAGAAUGACGCCUUCGGGUCUGGUAAAAACCGCGGUGAACAGUAAGAGGCACGAGCACGAAAGGAGAAAACUAAUGCGGGAGGACGCAUCGUCACUCAUUAAGUGCGCCGCUACGGAUCUGUCACCGUCAUCGUCACCGUCGAGACACGAGCAGCAGCAGCAGCAACAGCAACAGCAGCAGCAGCAGCAGCAAUCGCGAAAAAAGCAAACGGCUGGGGACUCGAACAUGCAGAUACGCCACCCUGUGCCCCCCGCUGUGAAAUCCUCAGGCCUCGGCUCUGAUUCCGUCAAAUCAAAUUCCAGUCCAAAGUCCAAUCCACGAGCCUGUACUAGCGCCAUCACCACCAACACCACCACGACACCCCGCGCGACACCCUGCUCCGCCAGGAAGGAGGAACCGAUCGUGCCGCAAACAUUGCCGCCGGGUGUCACGCAGAAAGACGUGGAUCUUAUCAAAGAGGCUCGCGAGAGGGCUCGGUUGACUGUGAGCAACGACGAGAACGACGAGCCAUUGUGCGCGAGCACGGCGAAUGCGUCCGGCAGCGCACCGCGAAAUCCUGCUGCGAUAGUAUUCGGUCGUUACGAGGUGGAAACGUGGUACUCAAGCCCGUUUCCACAGGAAUACGCACGAUUACCGAAAUUAUUCUUCUGCGAGUUCUGCUUAAAGUAUACGAAGAGUCGGGCUGUGCUGGACAGGCACAUGGACAAAUGCAGUUGGAGGCAUCCGCCCGCUACCGAGAUCUACAGGUGCGACGGAUUAUCCGUAUUCGAGAUCGACGGUAACGUAAAUAAGAUAUACUGUCAAAAUCUGUGUCUGCUGGCCAAGUUAUUUUUGGAUCACAAAACUCUCUACUACGACGUGGAGCCGUUUCUUUUCUACGCGGUGACGAAGAACGAUAAAUACGGCUGCCACCUGGUCGGUUAUUUCAGCAAAGAGAAACACUGUCCGGCUCAGAGGUACAACGUGUCCUGCAUCAUGACGCUGCCGCAGUAUCAGCGGCAGGGCUUCGGCAGGUUUCUCAUAGAGUUCAGUUACCUACUGUCUAAGGUGGAAGGCAUUCCGGGAACGCCGGAGAAGCCGCUCUCGGAUCUCGGUCGGGUGUCGUAUCAUUCCUUCUGGAAGAGCGUGGUGCUCGAGUAUUUGGAAGCGCAUCGAAACGCCACCGACAUCAAACUCUGCAACAUCACGAAGGAGACCGGUGUGUCGGCGCACGAUCUCGCCACUGCGAUGCAAUUAUUAGGAUUCGUGAGGUCGGUUCAUCUACCAGGAGCGGGGAAUAAUAGUAAAGUGGCUAUGGUGAUCGACUGGAGCAAAGUGGAUGCUCACAUGGCGAAGGUGCGGAACAGUUCUCGCAUCAAACUGGACCCCGACUGUCUCAGAUGGAUACCGUUGCUCACGCAAAUCCCCAAUCCGUAUCAAAACCCGGAGGAGAGCGGCGAUGCCAACUCCGAGGUGUCGCCCGCGGUGGAGCCUAAGCCUGUACCGGCAGUCGUGGAGAAAAUACAGAAAGUGAAGAUAAAGAAGAAGCCGAGAGGGAGAAAGGCGAACCAGAGGCGAUCGACGCUCUUGAAGCCGAAGACUCCGCAGAGAGCUGCAGCGUCUAGAGACUCGCUUAAAGAAGAAAAAGAUGUUAAAGAUGUGAAAGAGACCAAGACACCGAGAGAGCCGAAGGAAUCGACGAAAGAAGGUCGUAACGCCGAGAGUGCGGAGAGUCGAAAGCACGCGGAGGCGGAAUCCAAGAGUGUGACAUCCACGCCGCGGAGCUCGCGUUCCGUUAGCUCGGCGAAAAAUACAACCCCGACGACUUCCCCGAAAGCGACGCCGAUAACAACGAUGUCGAGGAGGAGAAUCAGUAGACCGCCUAAAGCGCUCAUAUCCGAAUCCGUUAUCACGCCUUUGAGAAAACGAAAACAUUCCGAGAUCGAGGAAGAGAAGCCGGAGGUCAGCAGCAGGAAGAGGACACGAGAAUCUCUGAGGGAGAAGGAGAAGGAAAAAGAGCGAGAAACGGAGCGCGAGAAAGAGAAGGAGAAGGUGAAGGAGAGAGAUCAUAAAGCAAAGGAAAAGGAAGUUUCGAAAGAAAAGUCGGUGGAGAGGAGAAAGACGCCACCCAAGUUGGACUCGUCACCGUCCCCGCCUAAACCAGCGAAGAAACAGUGCAAAGUGGACGAUAUUUUGCUGAAAGUCACCAGCAGGCAAACCAAGUAUUUGCAGGCGAAGGAGAAAAAGGCGCCGCCGGAGGAGACGGCGCAGUGCAACGGCAAGGAAGAGGCGCGGGAGGCUAAGAGCUUGCCGAUAUCGAGGCGAGGCAGAGCUAAAGUGAUGGUGGAAGCCCUAAAGAUGCCGCAACUCACGCCGGAAUCUCCCAGCGCGAAGAACAGAGCCGAGAGUCCUGUGAUACCGCCUCCCUCGCUGUCACCGCCGCCCGAGUCCGUGAAGAGCUCUCCCGCUCGAGGCAAGCAGCAGCCGUCUACGCCGGAAUCGCCGUCGGCGAAACACUCGAGCAACGGGGACAACAAGAGCGAGAGCGCGGAGGACAACGGCCUGCCUGUUCCCGCCGAGACGGAAGUGAUAUCCGCGAGUUCCGGUGAGUACGAGGGCGGCGACGAGGACGAAGGGGAGGAGGAAGAGUUAGCUGCACCGACGCCUAAACCCAUGACGCAAUUAGCCUCGCCCGGUGCGGAGAAUUCUGCGAAGGAACCGUGCGAGGAGGAGAAGGCGGACGACAAGUCGCAGGAGCGCGACAGCGACGAGGUUUCGUCGCGGAAAGCGGAAGCAGAUCCACCCUCGACGGCGGGCGAUGACCAGACUGAAAUUUUAAACGAAUGUGAUAAGGACUCCGAGACUGACAAGCGUCCCAUUUGCAGUCCGGAGGCAUCGAAAUCAGUACCUGAAUCAGUUGCUUCACCAAAAGAGGAAGAAGUCGAGCAGCCGGAGAGCGCGAUAUCGAAGAAAGAUAGUCGCGAUAGUCCUGCUAAGGAAGAACUCGCCUACGAAGCGCCGAAGGAUGUCAAGCUCGACUUGUCGCGCCCGAAAGCGGAAGCUUCUCCCGCGGCGGCGGCGGUGGCGGCGGACAAGAGGGGGGACACGUGCGCGCUCGCCAACACGGUGACGUCGGAAGUAGCCGAGCCUCUCACGCCGCAGGAGAAAACUUUGCCCGCCGUCGAGCAUCAGGACACAACCUUGCAGCUGCAGAGCCAAACGGAGGAAUUGAAGCAGCACUCGCCCGAGAGCGGCAAGACGACGCCGCAUUUGGAGAACCCGGGCUCGGUGAAAAGGACUCCGCCCUCGCAGCCGGAUCUACCGUCUAUGGGUGUUUACACGCCGGACUCAACAACUAACUCGGUGCAUUCGCUGCACUACGGCCAGUGUGAUCUGGAUGUUAGUCAGCUGGGCCUGGAGUCACCCACUUCCAUAGCCAGCGAUCUGGCGUCGCAGAACAGCGUCGAGAGGCCGCCCAGCGCCUUGCCGUCUAUACCGCCACCGGUCAGCGUGCCGAUGUCGGUCUCGAUGCAGAUUGCGACACCGGUAACGUCGUCGGUGCCGGUGAACAUACCGCCGCAAGUGCAGUACGCCGAUUGCUCGAUGCCGCAGCACACGCCGCCGGCGCAUCAUCCGGGGAUCCAUCCGAUGCACCAGCCGCACACGCCGCAGUCUCUCCAGCAACCGCGCACUCCGCAGUCGCAUACGCCGCAAAGCCUACCGACUCAGAGUCCGCAGCCGUUGCCGCAGAGUCACACGCCCCAGCCGAUGCCGCAGUCUCACACCCCGCAGAGUAUUCCGACGCAGAGCCCGCAACCGUUGCCGCAGAGUCACACGCCGCAACCGUUGCCGCAGUCGCACACGCCGCAGCCGAUGCAGCUGUCGCUGGCGCAAAGUCAGAGUAUGGCGCACAGUCAGUCUCAGUCGCAGCAGCAACCGUCGCAGCAGCAACAAUCCGCGCAUCAACAGCAGCAACCGCCGCAGCAGUCUCAGUCGCAUAGCAAGAGAGCGAGCAGCUCGCAGACCACCCACAGAUCUCGAUCGACGCAGCAGAGCAGCAGCAGCAGCAGCAGGUCACACCGGACCACUCCGCCGACAUCACACACCACGCAAUCGUCGCAGCAUAGCGCCGCGACGUCGCAGACCAGUCACAGCAGCAGCACCAUAUCGCACACGGCGCACGUCGCCGUGCCACCGCAGUAUCAACAGUCGCCGUCGUCGAUGAGCGUGCCACCCGCUGUGCCGCAUCCUCACUCGCACACGCCGCACGCCCAUUCGCACAACAUGGCGGUGAUCUCACAGGGUAACUACAUGGCGGUAGCGGCGGGCUCGCAGGGCUUCCCCACGCAGAACACCUACGUGAUCCAGCACAGGAGCGGCCGCUCCGGUGCGCCGACGCCCUGCACCACCGCUACCAACUUCUACAUACAGACGAGCGCGAUGCCACCGCAUUCGCACACUCCGGCGCCGACACUCUCCGCCUCGAGCGGCGGUCAUCAAACCACCAACUCGUGCAGUCUCGCCAAGCUGCAACAACUGACGAACGGCUUGGAGAUGAUACCGCCCACGCCGCCGCCGGCGAUGAAUCUCACACCGCCGCCGCCCAUCCCGCACACCAUAACGCCGCCGCAGACGUCGCGGCAAUUACCAACGCCGCCUCAGGUGCCGCUAGGCUACGCGAAGAACUAUUACAACGUCAACACCGUGCCGCCCGGUACACCCGGACCGCCCGGCCGAUCCACCUCCAGGUCGUCCGCGAACGCCAACAUGGCGUCGCUCGCGCAGCCAUACUCCAGCGAGAGCCUCUAUCGCCAGACCCUCGAUCCGGGUGGCACUUGCCCGCAGAUGCAGAGCGCCGCGAGCCGCGUCAGCCCGAACGUCGCCCUCAAUACGAAUCUCAUGGCCGCGCAAUACGGCUAUCGGGUGGCACAGCCGGCCACCGGCUAUAUGAACCAGGCGGCGCAGCUCGGCGGCUUCAUGAACCAGGCGAGCCAGCUGCCGGUCGGUGUGGUGAACGUGCCGUCACCGUAUCCGCAAGAUCCGCAUCAGCAGAACCCGGCGGCGGUUUACACCACGUACCACGGCUACAUCAACGGAAGCCUUAUGCAGCCACUUAACAGCACCAUGAGACCCCGCUAAUGGCUGUAGCGCUCGUCGUCGACCACGUCGAAACUUCUUCGCGCGACAAGUUAACGCUCUCUUCGAUACGACCGCCGACGGCGACGAUUCAUCCCGCAUCUCCACGGCGCCGUAGAUACUUGGACUUCCUCGACCACCCAUUGCUUCCGUCGAUCCAACAGGCUCUAUUCGUGUCAUUCAGUUGUCGCGUUUGUUGUUAUUCGCGAAUAUAUUCCUAACUGAGUCAAGAUGUCACAAUCGACGACGUUGUUGCGCACACAGAUCUUCACCUUCCUUCCCUCAUCUAAUCUGAGCUCCUCGCUACUUCGUCCUGAAACAUAAGAACGCGAUUAGCUCUAUUCGAAGGAUUUGAAGCAGGAGCGGAUUAAGUCCUGCAAUUUGUACGGCAUCUGAGAAAACUACGCUCUCGGAGUCAACGAGUUAUGGAUUCUUCAAGCUUACAAAUAGACUUGCAAUCGACUCUCGGUCAAUUUCUUUCCUCACGAAUUACCUCGAACGCUUUCUCUUGCGUUUUCUCUCCUGCCGUCGUUUCUUCUCCGCGUUAGCGAGAUCCACAUACUUCUUCCUCUGCUCAGGAGUCAU
rnacentral:misc_RNA from 1 species